AUAGGACACCCAGUUAAAUUUGAAUUUCAGAUAAAUCAUGGAAUUUUAAAGCUCAUUUGGGACAUAGUUUCCCAUGUUUACUGAUGGUUUAGCCAAAAUUUGAAUUUAAUUUGGUGUCCUGUAUGUUAUCUUACAAUCUUAUUUGUUGAUUUGUUCAAAUUUUCUAGGAAACAUAAUUCUAAAACUAAGAAAGGGGCCACAGUAGGAACCCAUUCUGACAUGAUGAAUUAUUACAUAUAGCGAGAUAUACUGAAGGCUAGAGAAUAUCCAUCAAAAGUAGCAUAUUCACAGAGUAAAACACAAUUUGGGAUGACUUAAUCCCUAUCCCAUGGUCAUAAAAGUGUUCAUCAAUUGAGUAUCUAUGAUACUCAAGUAUCUUUGAAGUCGGGUUGGCCACUCCUAUGCCUGAGAGAGAAAUGCAGCGAUGGAUGUGAUGCAGUGAUUUAGGUACAAAGAGAAGAGGCCUAAAACAGAAACGUAAAGACCCCUGCAUGUAAGGGGUGGCAGAAGAAGACUACUCUAGAAAGAGACUGUGAAAGGGCAUCAAGGGGAGGAAGACAGGAAGAAGCAUUCUCUACUGAACACUCCCCAGUGAAAUAAGCCACAGUGCUUGAGAAGAUGGCUACUUCUAAGACAAGGGAGGUAAGGAAAGAUUCAAGAUAAGCUUGAAAUAUUGGUGGUACUGGAGAUAGGUACUAAAAAGAUGAUGUAGAAAUGUCAUAAGGAUCCAGGAGCCAACAUGAAGGGACUCCCAUAAACCCAGACAAUACUAAUAUACUAGAAUUCAUUAAAUAAAAGUUGAUUCCACGAGUUUCUACUGACAAUAAUAGAAGAUAGAUAGAUAGAUAGAGGAGAAGGGAAACUUGUUCCUUACAGCGAGGUGCCGAUUAAUAAAUAUAGAAAGAAUGAUGGAAUCAUUAUUGUGCAACCAUAAUUGUAAAAACUGAUUGAAGAAAGAAUCAUGGGUGAGUGUAGAGGUUAAAUGAGGUUCAGUCUAUUUACAUAAUAUCAAGUAUCUCCCCACAAACUACUAUUACAGUUCAUCUUCCUUAUUCACAAAUUCCACAUUUGUGAAUUCACCUGCUCCUUAAAGGAGGUUACCCCAAGUUCAACACUCACAGCAUUUUCUCAGUCAUUCAUGGAUAUGCACCAAAGGGUAAAAAGUCUGAAGUCCCCAAUGUACACAUUCUCAUCUGAGGUUGAACAAGGCAAUACUCUGCCGUCUUAUUUCAGCUGUCGUUCUGUAAACAAGAGUCUUUUUCAAGGUAUAUUUAUUGUCAAGUUUUUGUAUUUUUGUGCUUUUUAUUGGUUGUUUUGCUGUUUUUAAAAUUUUUUUUUCAAGUUUAUUUAUCUUGUGAAAGGAGAAAGAAAACACACAUGCAAGCAGGGGGAGAGGCAAGAGAGAGAGGAGGAUGAGAAUUCCAAGCAGACUUCGUGCACUGUCAGCACAGAACCCGCAAACUGGGGCUCGAUCCAGCAAACUGUGGGGUCAUGACCUGAGCUGAAAUCAAGAGUUGGAUGCUUAACCAAGUGAGCUGGUUAUUUUGCUGUUUACCUUGUCUCCAAAGUGAAAGUCUUAAGGAACAAUUUCAAGACACACAGUUUUUAAAAGGAUGGGAAGGAGGCUCAGACCAGUGUGCUGUCAGAGGAGUCUGGGGAAGAAGAAAUCGUCCGUAGUGUCAUAUGCUACAGAGGGUGCCAGGACAGGAAUCAUGCGUUCCAAAGAGAAGAAAAGUAUCACAUUUAAUUUAUUUUUUGGCCACACACCUAAUUGAGGAGGCGAGCCCUUAGGUGGGAGUCACAGUGAGCUGCCCUGAGUUUUUCCCAAGCCUAACAAAAGAAAGAAGGACCGGCCACCGCUUGUGCCUGCCAACCGUGCAUUGUUCAAGGAAUCAAAAUAAAGAGGCAAAGGGGUCAAGGAGCAAACGGUGUUCAGAUUUCCUAACCGCUGAAGUGUAAAUCACAACUGGGAGACUAUUGAGGCGAUUUGGGCCAAACUGCAGAGAAACAAGAGAAAAGGGUAAUCAUAUCUUAACCCAGUCAAUCCGAAAUUUCCUGGUCAGCAAUAGUAAGGAAACCUGCCUGACAGAUCCCUCCUGUCCCACCCCCCCAGAAGAUGAGGUAAGCCUCUCUUUCUUUGCCCCUGCCCCCUUCUGCUUAUUAAAUUCUUUCAUUUUGUACAGCUCUUUGGAUCUCCUCUCAAUUUGCUAGAUGGGAUGCUCCCCAAUUCAUGAAUUGUUGAAGAAAGCCAAUUUGACUUUCAAGUUUACUCAGUUAAAUUAUGUUUUUUUUAAUGCUAGUAUAGACCAAGAAUAUUAGAUUAACCAACUGAAAGCUAUUUUAUUAUCAGUAAGUGUUUCCAGACCUGGAGUUUGGGAGAUUUAGGUGGAACCAUUUAAGAACACAUUUGAAGCAUGGAAAUAUUAUUGUUGUUGUUAUUGCUGUCCUUGUUUAUUGUUCACUAAGAGAAUUUAUGAAUGCUAAAAAUCAAAACAGUGUUUAUUUGAAUAGAUGGUUGCUAGAGGAAUAUUCUGAAUUCAAUAGCACACAAUUCUUAGAAAUCUCCCCUGGCAUUGACCAUGGUCAGUGAUUAGUACUUAGUUUAAACUCCAAAUCUAUAGUGUUAAAAAUCUAUAUCUAGUGUUUAAAUAUAGCAUUUAAAAUCUCUACAUAAGAAAAAUGUUGUAGAAGAUUGAAUACUUUAAUCAAAUACUUUAUAGAAUUGUGAAUUAAAUAAAGCAUAUAAAUUAUAAAAUCAAAAAAUAAGGACCCAUAAUUCUAUCCUCCAGCCCCCUUCCUCCAAAAAAAAAAAUUUAAAAAUUAAAAAAAAA